rnacentral:rRNA from 1 species
UAGGGAAUCUUCGGCAAUGGACGAAAGUCUGACCGAGCAACGCCGCGUGAGUGAAGAAGGUUUUCGGAUCGUAAAACUCUGUUGUUAGAGAAGAACAAGGACGUUAGUAACUGAACGUCCCCUGACGGUAUCUAACCAGAAAGCCACGGCUAACUACGUGCCAGCAGCCGCGGUAAUACGUAGGUGGCAAGCGUUGUCCGGAUUUAUUGGGCGUAAAGCGAGCGCAGGCGGUUUCUUAAGUCUGAUGUGAAAGCCCCCGGCUCAACCGGGGAGGGUCAUUGGAAACUGGGAGACUUGAGGGAAGAAGAGGAGAGUGGAAUUCCAUGUGUAGCGGUGAAAUGCGUAGAUAUAUGGAGGAACACCAGUGGCGAAGGCGGCUCUCUGGUCUGUAACUGACGCUGAGGCUCGAAAGCGUGGGGAGCAAACAGG